ACGUGGCAACUCAAGGUGCUUUACCAUUCUAAACCAAACGCGAGGCAAAAAAUAUUUUGAAUCUGUCAGAACACCGAGCGACCACCCCGAGAGUGCGAACACUUCCGAGAACGAUCACCCACAGCUUAGAAUGAUAACUCAAACUGAGGAUCAUCAAGGCCGUUAAUCACGCUCUGAUCGCACGGUAAUGCUUCAUCCACCAGAUUUAUGUUCCUGUCUCCUUAGAAAUCAAGGACACAGUAGUACGAGCCUAUAGAACAGAUCCUGUUCAAGUAAGGUUCUUUCUUUAUGCGAGUGAGUGAUUUUCCGUAGUGAAAGUUUCUUCUGUUUUAGAGGAGAGGAAACUCACAACAAAUUCACCCAUCACCACCACUGGUACACAGCAGCCUUUUAAGGAAGGAAGCUGCUUAACUGUUUUCAAGCACUGGAAAAUUUAGAGAAGACAAGUUAUUGCACCGACUGCGCACUCUCUCCCAAAUACUCUUCUUCAUGGUGGUGCUUGGAUGGGCUACUUACAAUCCUCCAAUCUCAAAUUCAAUGCGGUCGUUAUGUUUUCCCUUCCUUCUACAAUGACGGACGUGAGGCACCACCAGAAGGGUCUUUCGCUUAGCAUUGCAAAAUGUUUGGAGAGGCAGUGAAAAUGUGAGUAAUUAGCAUAGUGAGAGAAAAAAUCAGUUUUGUGUAUUUUAACCACCCAUUUAUGCGUUGUGCAUCAAAUACCACCACACUGAUUUGUUUAUCAAAAGUUGGUAUUCCUUUGUGAAUUGCUCGCUUCAGACUGUCAUUGUCAUCUCAGUGGCCAUUGCUUUUAGUACUCCCAUAUAUUUGUUAUAAAAGAAUGUUGUUUUUGUCCA